GACGAACGCUGGCGGCGUGCUUAACACAUGCAAGUCGAACGGAAAGGCCCUGCUUUUGUGGGGUGCUCGAGUGGCGAACGGGUGAGUAACACGUGAGUAACCUGCCCUUGACUUUGUGAUAACUUCAGGAAACUGGGGCUAAUACCGGAUAGGAGCUCCUGCUGCAUGGUGGGGGUUGGAAAGUUUCGGCGGUUGGGGAUGGACUCGCGGCUUAUCAGCUUGUUGGUGGGGUAGUGGCUUACCAAGGCUUUGACGGGUAGCCGGCCUGAGAGGGUGACCGGCCACAUUGGGACUGAGAUACGGCCCAGACUCCUACGGGAGGCAGCAGUGGGGAAUAUUGCACAAUGGGCGGACGCCUGAUGCAGCAACGCCGCGUGCGGGAUGACGGCCUUCGGGUUGUAAACCGCUUUCGCCUGUGACGAAGCGUGAGUGACGGUAAUGGGUAAAGAAGCACCGGCUAACUACGUG
rnacentral:rRNA from 1 species